AAUUAUAAAUUUAUUAAUUUUAAGUUAAAAUUUAAAAAUUUAAUAAAAAUAAUUUUAUUUUUUUUGUAUAUUUUAUAGAUAAAAAAAUUUUAGUAAUAGUUUAUUUGUAUUGAGUAAGAAUAUUGAAAUAAAUUGAAAAUUUAAUUUUAAAAAAGUAAAAUUUAUUUUUUGUACCUUUUGUAUCAGGGUUUAUUAAAUAAAUUUUAUUUAUAAAUAGAUUUCUCGAAUUUAAAAGAUCUAAUAUUUUAAUAAAUUUAUUGUAAUAUAAAUAUUUUAAAUAAAGUAUUAGUAAUGAAAUGUUUUUCGUUUUUAAAUUUAUCUAGUUAUUUAAGAAAUAAAUUUAAUUUAUAUAUUAAUUUUAUUUAAUUUUUAUUUAAAAAUUUAAUUUAAUUUAAUAUAAAUAAUAUGAGGGAUAAGCUUUGUAUUAAUUUUUAUAAUUAAAAGUUUUUAAAAUAAUUUAUAAAUUUAGAAAUAGUUAUUAUUAAAAAAAAUGUUUUAAUUUAUUAUUUAAAAGAUUUUAUUUUUUAAAUUAAAAAUUUAAAUUUUUUAUUAAAUUAUUCAUUUAAAUAAUUUUAAAUGAAUUAAUAAUGAUAAAAUUAGUAAAUUAUAUUGUUAAAUUAUUUUUUUAAUAAAGAUUAAUAAAAGGAAUUCGGCAAAAAUUAAUGCUCACCUGUUUAACAAAAACAUGUCUUUUUGAAUAUAAUUUAAAGUUUAACCUGCCCACUGAUAUUUAUUAAAGGGCCGCAGUAUUUUGACUGUGCAAAGGUAGCAUAAUCAUUAGUUUUUUAAUUGAGGACUUGUAUGAAUGGUUGGAUGAGGUAUUAACUGUCUCUAUUUAAUAAAUAAUUAAAUUUAAUUUUUAAAUAAAAAAGUUUAAAUUUAAUUAAAAGACGAGAAGACCCUAUAGAUCUUUAUAUUUUAAUUAAUAAAAAUUUAUUAGAAUUAUAAUAUUUAUUAUUAUUUAAAUUAUUUUAUUGGGGUGAUAUAAAAAUAUAUUAAACUUUUUAUUUUUAAAAACAUUUAUUUAUGAAUAAAUGAUCCAAUUUUAUUGAUUAAAAGAUUAAGUUACCUUAGGGAUAACAGCGUAAUUUUAUUAAAGAGUUCUAAUCGAUAAUAAAGAUUGCGACCUCGAUGUUGAAUUAAGAGUAAUUUUAGGUGAAGAAGUUUAAAAUUUUAGUCUGUUCGACUAUUAAAUUCUUACAUGAUUUGAGUUCAAAUCGGCGUAAGCCAGAUUGGUUUCUAUCUUUAAUUAAAUAAUAUAUUUUAGUACGAAAGGACCAAGUAUAUAAAUUAUAUUUUAUUAUAUGAAUAAUAAUAAUAG
rnacentral:rRNA from 1 species